GUGGGGAAUCUUGCGCAAUGGGCGAAAGCCUGACGCAGCCAUGCCGCGUGAAUGAUGAAGGUCUUAGGAUUGUAAAAUUCUUUCACCGGGGACGAUAAUGACGGUACCCGGAGAAGAAGCCCCGGCUAACUUCGUGCCAGCAGCCGCGGUAAUACGAAGGGGGCUAGCGUUGCUCGGAAUUACUGGGCGUAAAGGGCGCGUAGGCGGACAGUUUAGUCAGAGGUGAAAGCCCAGGGCUCAACCUUGGAAUUGCCUUUGAUACGGGCUGUCUUGAGUACGGGAGAGGUGAGUGGAACUCCGAGUGUAGAGGUGAAAUUCGUAGAUAUUCGGAAGAACACCAGUGGCGAAGGCGACUCACUGGCCCGUUACUGACGCUGAGGCGCGAAAGCGUGGGGAGCAAACAGGAUUAGAAACCCCAGUAGUCC
rnacentral:rRNA from 1 species